UCAUUGUCGAGUUUUAGUUAUCUGAUUGCACGAUAAGUAUUUUGUCUACAAGAGCCUUCCUUAUGUCUCUUUUUUUCUUUGUCUCCCCAUCAUCAUGUCUUUUUGUUUCGGUAUUGUCUUCAGACAUCAUCAUUCUCUAUCUUGGUCUUUGGUGUAUGUUUUCAAGCAAGCAUGACCACAGUGAUUUGUUGUUUGUGUUAUGUUUCCGUAUAGUGUCAUUGUGCGUAAUUAAUCGCUGGAUUUGUUUCC